UGCUCAUCACUAAAUGCUGGUCCUAUUCCU
rnacentral:piRNA from 1 species